GACAUAGGUCGCAAACGUUAUCCGGAAUUAUUGGGCGUAAAGGAUGCGUAGAUGGUUCAGUAAGUUACUGGUGGGAAAUCGAGGCCCAACCUCGUGGAAGUUAGUGAUACUGUUGAACUUGAGUGCAGGAGAGGUUAACGGAACUUCAUGUGGAGCGGUAAAAUGCGUAGAUAUAGGGAAGAACACCAAUAAGGCGAAGGCAGUUAACUAUUCUACUCCUGACAUUGAGGCAUGAAAGCGUGGGGAGCAAAACGG
rnacentral:rRNA from 1 species